rnacentral:tRNA from 1 species
UCCUCGAUAGUAUAGUGGUGAGUAUCUCCGCCUGUCACGCGGUCGGCCUGGGUUCAAUUCCCAGUCGAGGAG